rnacentral:rRNA from 1 species
GAUGAACGCUAGCUACAGGCUUAACACAUGCAAGUCGAGGGGAAACGGCAUUAAGUGCUUGCACUUUUUGGACGUCGACCGGCGCACGGGUGAGUAACGCGUAUCCAACCUUCCCAUGACUAAGGGAUAACCUGCCGAAAGGCAGACUAAUACCUUAUGGUCUUCACUGACGGCAUCAGAUGUGAAGUAAGGAUUUAUCGGUUAUGGAUGGGGAUGCGUCUGAUUAGUUAGUUGGCGGGGUAACGGCCCACCAAGGCAACGAUCAGUAGGGGUUCUGAGAGGAAGGUCCCCCACAUUGGAACUGAGACACGGUCCAAACUCCUACGGGAGGCAGCAGUGAGGAAUAUUGGUCAAUGGGCGAGAGCCUGAACCAGCCAAGUAGCGUGCAGGAUGACGGCCCUAUGGGUUGUAAACUGCUUUUGUAUGGGGAUAAAGUCAAUCACGUGUGAUUGUUUGCAGGUACCAUACGAAUAAGGACCGGCUAAUUCCGUGCCAGCAGCCGCGGUAAUACGGAAGGUCCGGGCGUUAUCCGGAUUUAUUGGGUUUAAAGGGAGCGUAGGCUGGAGAUUAAGUGUGUUGUGAAAUGUAGACGCUCAACGUCUGACUUGCAGCGCAUACUGGUUUCCUUGAGUACGCACAACGUUGGCGGAAUUCGUCGUGUAGCGGUGAAAUGCUUAGAUAUGACGAAGAACUCCGAUUGCGAAGGCAGCUGACGGGAGCGCAACUGACGCUGAAGCUCGAAGGUGCGGGUAUCGAACAGG